UGAACGCUGGCGGCGUGCUUAACACAUGCAAGUCGAACGGAAAGGCCCAAGCUUGCUUGGGUACUCGAGUGGCGAACGGGUGAGUAACACGUGGGUGAUCUGCCCUGCACUUCGGGAUAAGCCUGGGAAACUGGGUCUAAUACCGGAUAGGACCACGUCUUGGAUGUUGUGGUGGAAAGUUUUUUCGGUGUGGGAUGAGCUCGCGGCCUAUCAGCUUGUUGGUGGGGUAAUGGCCUACCAAGGCGUCGACGGGUAGCCGGCCUGAGAGGGUGUACGGCCACAUUGGGACUGAGAUACGGCCCAGACUCCUACGGGAGGCAGCAGUGGGGAAUAUUGCACAAUGGGCGCAAGCCUGAUGCAGCGACGCCGCGUGGGGGAUGACGGCCUUCGGGUUGUAAACUCCUUUCGCUAGGGACGAAGCGUUUUUGUGGCGGUACCUGGAGAAGAAGCACCGGCUAACUACGUG
rnacentral:rRNA from 1 species